rnacentral:tRNA from 1 species
AAGGACUUAAGUUAAAAAAACUAAUAGCCUUCAAAGCCUUAAAUGAUAAAACAAUCAGUCCUUA